GCGAGAGAAGGGAUCGAGAAAGUGAACGUGGGAUGGAGACGUAGGUGGAAUGAGGAGCACCUUCGUGAAGUUCCAGCGCUGGAUGAAGUGGCGGGCAAGGUCCCGGGCAGCUGCACCGUGUACAACCACUCCGACAUCCCUCCAUGGCAUCCUGGAAAGCCAUCAAGUCCCACUCACCGAGCCAGAGGGAGCAGACUCAUCAAGACUUUGUGUCUCUGGAGGUCCCG